GUAAGGAAUAUUGGGCAAUGGACGCAAGUCUGACCCAGCCAUGCCGCGUGCAGGAUGAAGGCCCUAUGGGUUGUAAACUGCUUUUGUACGGGAAGAAACUUCCGCACGUGUGCGGAAUUGACGGUACCGUGCGAAUAAGCACCGGCUAACUCCGUGCCAGCAGCCGCGGUAAUACGGAGGGUGCAAGCGUUAUCCGGAUUCAUUGGGUUUAAAGGGUGCGCAGGCGGAAUGAUAAGUCAGUGGUGAAAUCCUACAGCUCAACUGUAGAACUGCCAUUGAUACUGUCGUUCUUGAGUAUAGUUGAAGUGGGUGGAAUGUAUCAUGUAGCGGUGAAAUGCAUAGAUAUGAUACAGAACUCCGAUAGCGAAGGCAACUCACUAAACUAUAACUGACGCUCAUGCACGAAAGCGUGGGGAGCAAACAGGAUUAGAAACCCGGGUAGUCC
rnacentral:rRNA from 1 species